CAGCACCUCAAGUGGUCAGGAUGAUUAUUGGGCCUAAAGCAUCCGUAGCCGGCGCUGUAAGUUUUCGGUUAAAUCUGUACGCUCAACGUACAGGCUGCCGGGAAUACUGCAGCGCUAGGGAGUGGGAGAGGUAGACGGUACUCGGUAGGAAGGGGUAAAAUCCUUUGAUCUAUUGAUGACCACCUGUGGCGAAGGCGGUCAGCUAGAACGCGCUCGACGGUGAGGGACGAAAGCUGGGGGAGCGAUCCGGAUUAGAUACCCGAGUAGUCC
rnacentral:rRNA from 1 species